rnacentral:rRNA from 1 species
AGUGAACGCUGGCGGUAGGCCUAACACAUGCAAGUCGAACGGCAGCACAGUAAGAGCUUGCUCUUACGGGUGGCGAGUGGCGGACGGGUGAGGCAUACAUCGGAAUCUACUUUUUCUUGGGGGAUAACGUAGGGAAACUUACGCUAAUACCGCAUACGACCUACGGGUUAAAGCAGGGGAUCUUCGGACCUUGCGCGAUUGAAUGAGCCGAUGUCGGAUUAGCUAGUUGGCGGGGUAAAGGCCCACCAAGGCGACGAUCCGUAGCUGGUCUGAGAGGAUGAUCAGCCACACUGGAACUGAGACACGGUCCAGACUCCUACGGGAGGCAGCAGUGGGGAAUAUUGGGCAAUGGGCGCAAGCCUGAUCCAGCCAUACCGCGUGGGUGAAGAAGGCCUUCGGGUUGUAAAGCCCUUUUGUUGGGAAAGAAAAGCAGCAGGUUAAUACCCCGCUGUUCUGACGGUACCCAAAGAAUAAGCACCGGCUAACUUCGUG